GACAGAGGUGCCGAGCGUUAGGCGGAAUCACUGGGCUUAAAGCGUGUGUAGGCGGGCCGUUAAGUGUCUUGUGAAAUCCCCCCGGCUCAACCGGGGAAUUGCUGGGCAUACUGGCGGUCUUGAGCAAUCUAGGGGCAGAUGGAACAAGUGGUGGAGCGGUGAAAUGCGUAGAUAUCACUUGGAGCGCCAACGGUGAAGACAGUCUGCUGGGGAUUUGCUGACGCUGAGACACGAAAGCCAGGGGAGCGAACGGG
rnacentral:rRNA from 1 species